CACUUCAGUUUGGGAUGGGUCUGCUCAGACCAAUUAUUAUUUUAAAAUGGGGGAGACAAAUAAUCCCUUAUUUUUCUAUCCCCUCUUCUAGUGUAUGUCUCCACCCCCACCCAUGUACCCUCCUGCCCUCCCACCCGCUCAUGUACCAUCCACCUGUGACCCCCACAACCCCUGUUGUGUGCUGCCACUGCAGUGGACAUAGCUCCCAACGAUGGCUGCAGCAUCACCAUAAUGAACCACGACUAAAAGUCCAGAGGCAGGAUGCUGCUUGCCAGACCCAACGCCCAGGAUAUGCAGCAUUCUGGUUGAUAUUUAGAAAACUUUCAUGGGCAGAACUCGCUGGGGGCAGCAACCAACCCACAGACAAGUGAUGAAGAGAGAAGAGUAAAGAUAGUGAAGAGGAGUAGAGUGAAAAUAUUUUCAGAUUUUUAAUUUUUUUUACAUUUGGUAUAUAUAUUAUAUUGUUAAGUUGUAUAUAGUUAUUG